ensembl:lncRNA
AAGCAUGUAACGUUAAGUGACAAGUUUGUGAAAAUACUGCCAGUGCCAGAUGCAGCGCGACGCAGCACGGCGAAUCCUUGACAGUAAAUUGAUGCCCCAUUCUAUUUCUGACUCACUCCAGAGAUCUAACACAAAGGACAAUUGGAUUUUCAAUGUUUACUUUGUCUGUCCAGUGUGGUGAAAAGACAAGAACAUGUGACGAGGCAUCUGGCCCUCAGAUUCACCAGUAAAAAGCUUCUUCUGCUGUUUGUCCCAUGACCCCCCGUGCGAGCCUGACACACACCUUGACCUCCACAAAAAUACGAGAGCUUUCAUGCAAUACAAAUAUUAAUGAGCUAAAACGGCCUCAGUAUCAGCUACCUUUUGACAGGUAUGAGAGAUUGCCAGCGUGUGUUCCUUGGGAACUGAACCCAUGAACGCAACUUUGUUAGCGCCAUGCUCUACCAGUCAAACUACAGCAACAAUAUAACUGUUGUUGGGGACUGGUUUCCAUGGAGAGCUGACAUUCUGAGUGUUGAGAGUGGACAUGCAUAAUCGGGAAGGACGGUCUGUACUGGGCAUGUGCGUAGAGAUGUGCAGUGGUUAUUAGCAUGUUUUAACAUUCACAGAGGUCAGACGGUGGCAUUUACCCUAAAUCAUCAUCUGCAGUGCCAGCCACAGUAGUACAGGCAAGGGGCAAGACAAGUGAUUAGCUGCCGGCCUCUGUUAUCACAUAAAUGAAAUAAUACUCACUCUGUGUAAGAGAUACUGUGAUGUGUGACGCUUGAGGAAUUCUUUGUUGUGGG